rnacentral:lncRNA from 1 species
UGGACAAUUACAACAGGAGUCUAAAAAUUGAUAACAGAAUUCAGGCUGGAAAACCAAGAUCAACUGACUUUCUUUCUGGAUUUGGAACAUGAAAUAUUUCAUGUAACAUUGUGCGACUCCAAACAGAACCCGAGAAGGUUCUUUCAUGCUCCACCAGUUGCUCCAGAAAUUGCUCCACGACCACUUGCGCUACCAGUUGCUGCACCAGUAGUUCGUCCGCCUGUUGCUCCACCAUAUGUUGUUCCACCACCUGUUGCUCAACCAGUUGCUCCGGCACCACCUCCUCCACCAGUAGCUUUGGCACAACUUGUUCCACAAAAUGCUCAACCACCAGAACCAGCAGUCAACGCAGAUGAAAAUAUUCCAAGCUUUCAUCUACAACCGCAACACAUAUUACAAAGUGGUUGGUUGAGAAAACUCUAAAACUUCUUAGUCGCUCUUGUAUAUAUUUAAUAUUUUUACAUUUAUCGCAGAACGUGUCAAGAGACUUCUACAAUGCUUACUUGCAGGACUUAGACGAGGUAAACGUUCGAUUCAUACGUGCAAAGACAAUGUUGCCAGUGCAAAUCAAUGUAAGGCGCCCAAGGUCUCCAAUAAUUGAACUGAGGCAAGGAUGGAGAGAAAUCACAUGCCACAACGAUUUGAUCGAGGGCGGAGUGUACAAAGGCUUCUUUGAUGCACGAAGAACAGCUAUUGUGUUUAGACAACAAUGAUCAUAACAGGUACAAUUUCAAACUCUAUGCAUAUAUCACUUAACAAUUUCAAACUCUAUGCAUAUAUUCUACACUAAAUGCCUUACUAUACAUAUAUUGUGAACUAAUAAAAAAUGAUUUCACAGACUGUGAUAUCGAAGAACAUCUCAAACAGACUUGGUGUUGCAAAAGAUGAUGCUUUUAUGUUUAAUAUCUCAAACAAUGGUAGCUGAAAUACUUUUGUAAUAUAUUAUGGUGC